UACGAAGGGGGCUAGCGUUGCUCGGAAUUACUGGGCGUAAAGCGCACGUAGGCGGGUCGUUAAGUCGGAGGUGAAAUCCUGGAGCUCAACUCCAGAAUUGCCUACGAAACUGGCGAUCUCGAGUCCGGGAGAGGUGAGUGGAACUGCGAGUGUAGAGGUGAAAUUCGUAGAUAUUCGCAAGAACACCAGUGGCGAAGGCGGCUCACUGGCCCGAGACUGACGCUGAGGUGCGAAAGCGUGGGGAGCAAACAGG
rnacentral:misc_RNA from 1 species